GACGAACGCUGGCGGCGUGCUUAACACAUGCAAGUCGAGCGGAAAGGCCCUUCGGGGUACUCGAGCGGCGAACGGGUGCGUAACACGUGAGUAACCUGCCCCAGAUUUUGGGAUAACCCUCGGAAACGGGGGCUAAUACCGGAUACGACACAGCUUCGCAUGGGGUCUGUGUGGAAAGUUUUUCGGUUUGGGAUGGGCUCGCGGCCUAUCAGCUUGUUGGUGGGGUGAUGGCCUACCAAGGCGACGACGGGUAGCCGGCCUGAGAGGGCGACCGGCCACACUGGGACUGAGACACGGCCCAGACUCCUACGGGAGGCAGCAGUGGGGAAUAUUGCACAAUGGGCGGAAGCCUGAUGCAGCGACGCCGCGUGAGGGAUGACGGCCUUCGGGUUGUAAACCUCUUUCAGCAGGGACGAAGCGUAAGUGACGGUACCUGCAGAAGAAGCGCCGGCCAACUACGUG
rnacentral:rRNA from 1 species